rnacentral:rRNA from 1 species
AACACAUGCAAGUCGAGCGGUAGCACAGAGAGCUUGCUCUCGGGUGACGAGCGGCGGACGGGUGAGUAAUGUCUGGGAAACUGCCUGAUGGAGGGGGAUAACUACUGGAAACGGUAGCUAAUACCGCAUAAUGUCGCAAGACCAAAGUGGGGGACCUUCGGGCCUCAUGCCAUCAGAUGUGCCCAGAUGGGAUUAGCUAGUAGGUGGGGUAACGGCUCACCUAGGCGACGAUCCCUAGCUGGUCUGAGAGGAUGACCAGCCACACUGGAACUGAGACACGGUCCAGACUCCUACGGGAGGCAGCAGUGGGGAAUAUUGCACAAUGGGCGCAAGCCUGAUGCAGCCAUGCCGCGUGUGUGAAGAAGGCCUUCGGGUUGUAAAGCACUUUCAGCGGGGAGGAAGGCGGU